UGGGGAAUAUUGCGCAAUGGGGGCAACCCUGACGCAGCAACGCCGCGUGAAGGAAGAAGGUCUUCGGAUUGUAAACUUUUGUCUUUGGUGAAGAUAGUGACGGUAGCCAAGGAGGAAGCCACGGCUAACUACGUGCCAGCAGCCGCGGUAAUACGUAGGUGGCAAGCGUUGUCCGGAUUUACUGGGUGUAAAGGGCGUGUAGACGGGUCUGCAAGUCAGAUGUGAAAUACCGCAGCUUAACUGCGGGGCUGCAUUUGAAACUGUGGGUCUUGAGUGCGGGAGAGGAAAGCGGAAUUCCUAGUGUAGCGGUGAAAUGCGUAGAUAUUAGGAGGAACACCAGUGGCGAAGGCGGCUUUCUGGACCGUAACUGACGUUGAGGCGCGAAAGCGUGGGUAGCAAACAGG
rnacentral:rRNA from 1 species